rnacentral:rRNA from 1 species
CGGGGGGAGCAAGCGUUGUUCGGAUUUACUGGGCGUAAAGGGCGCGUAGGCGGCCAGCACAAGUCAGUUGUGAAAUCUCCGGGCUUAACUCGGAACGGUCAACUGAUACUGUGCGGCUAGAGUGCAGAAGGGGCAACUGGAAUUCUCGGUGUAGCGGUGAAAUGCGUAGAUAUCGAGAGGAACACCUGCGGCGAAGGCGGGUUGCUGGGCUGACACUGACGCUGAUGCGCGAAAGCCAGGGGAGCGAACGAGAUUAGAUACCCCGGUAGUCCUGGCCUUAAACGAUGGAUGCUUGGUGUCUGGAGUUUCAUAGUCUCCGGGUGCCGUAGCUAACGCGUUAAGCAUCCCGCCUGGGGAGUACGGUCGCAAGACUG